GGGACCGUGAGCAGGUUCGGAGAAGGAGAUACGUGAGAAAGAUAAGGGAGGAAUGGCGGAGUUUCACGGAAGUUUAAGUUUAAACUUCUCGUAAAUUUAAGCUGUUAGCAGCUGAUUUAAAAGCUUUUUUUAUCUUACGUGUUAGGCAGUAGUUGGUGUAAGAAACAGAAAAACAAAUCUUCAAUGACUGGUGCCGAAGUGUAAUGUUGUGUGUAAACUCUUAGGAAUGAGAUAUGAACGCUGUUCCGUUAGCUUUGUGCUAAUAAAGGUUUCUGCACCGAGUCAUUCAUGGGCUGUGACGUGUUAUCACUAAAGCUGCAGCACCCACCGGAAGUUCUCUGGAGCCGGAAGCGCUCGGUUGGAGGUCCAACGAACCAGAAGGAUCCUUACACUGUCUGUGUAGACCGCAGGGGGUUUCCAGUGGAUCCUCUAUGACUGGAAGAGCGAGCGGCCAACAUGGCCGGCCUCGCUCCAGGAACCCGCUACAGGUCCGAGAUCGUUCACACGCCGAGACGGGUCGGGCCAGAACCACAGAGAGUUACAGACCAGUGAGAGGAGGAUCUGCUACCAGAACCGGCUCUGAUCCGACCACCAUGAGAACUGAAACAACCAGAAGAAUCAAUCAUUGAACUAAUGAACUAAUUCAGGAAUCAGUUCAUCGUCACCUGGAGGAUCCAGAAUCUACAAAGAUUAUUAGCAACAAACUCAGCAGACAAGAAAACCGUUGAUAUAAAAUCCUUCCUGCUCUGUGAAUCUGCUCUGCUGCAGCCUGGAGAAAAUCUCCUGUUGAUCACCGUCAGCAUCUGGUUAUUGAUCAGCUAAUCAAUAAUUCAUCUCCAGAUCGUCCUGCUGCUGCAGCAGGAAGAAGCUUCCUUCUCAGAUUUCAUGUUUUCAUCUGCGGGGCAGAAAACUUUCAGCUGCUCAGGAAAGAAGUUUUAUGUUUUACUGAACAGAACCUGGAGCUGUUCGGACCGCCGCGCUGAGAGGUUCUGCUGGGAUCCGGAUCCGUCCAGGUCGGGUCCAGAGGGAAUCAGGAGUUCUCGGCUUCAUUCCAGCACAGAAACCCGUAAAUCAGCUGAUGGUUCUGGUUCUGGUUCUGGUCCGUCUCUGAUGAGAGGAUUUACAUUUUUGGGAAAUCUGCUGUUUUUAUUUAGCCAAACUGUGAGAAGGAACCAGAGCUGUUCUGGUUCUGGUUCUGGGUUGGUACUGAGCUACUCUAGAAUACAGAAACAAGAUGGCCGCCGGACCGAGGUUAGCAGAGCCGAGGCUUCUGGGAAAAAGUCCUCUGAAGGGAGGGAAGCAGAACCACCUGAGCAGGGCGGUGGAGGAGUGGUGAUGCGGGAUUUGAUCUGAUCUGUUUGCAACAGAAGAUAAAAACUCGUCAGGAGACAGGAAGAACAGGAUUCGGGUCAGCUCCUUCCGUCAGCUCCAGUCUAAGAAAAGGAAUUAAAGCUGAAACAACAAA